AAGAGAUGUGUCACCUUUUUCAGCCCUUCUGAGUUUGCAGGUGCUUUGCUUAAAUUUCUCAGCCCUCAGGCUCUUCCUAAGGAUACCUCCACUGAUGAAGCUACACCAUCAACUUCAUCCUCAACAUCAACAGAUGCAUCACUUCUCAGUGCUGAUGUUUCCUCUAUAGCACAAGGUAC